UACGUAGGGGGCAAGCGUUGUCCGGAAUCAUUGGGCGUAAAGAGCGUGUAGGCGGCCCGAUAAGUCCGCUGUGAAAGUCCAGGGCUCAACCCUGGAAUGCCAGUGGAAACUGUCGGGCUGGAGUCCGGAAGAGGCGAGUGGAAUUCCUGGUGUAGCGGUGAAAUGCGCAGAUAUCAGGAGGAACACCAAUGGCGAAGGCAGCUCGCUGGGACGGUACUGACGCUGAGACGCGAAAGCGUGGGGAGCAAACGGG
rnacentral:rRNA from 1 species